CGGGGGAUGAAUUUAAUUUAAUCUACGCCCCUGAACUAGUCAAACCUGAUGUAGCAAUAAACAUAACUAACAGUAGUAUGAUGCCAAACUGAAGUCCAGUUUUCAACUCAGACAUCAAGAAUAAAGAAAGGAAUAUUUAAAAGGAUGACAUUACUUCUGAUUUAUUCAUAGAUUUAUUUAUAGUGCUCCUGUAGCUCAAGUGGUAGAGCAUUGCGUUACAAAGCGCAAGGUUGGGGGUUCGAUUCCCCGGGAACACAUGUUAGGUAAAAAUUGAUAGCCUGAAUGCACUGUAAGUCGCUUUGGAUAAAAGCGUCUGCUAAAUGCAUAAAUUUAAUUUAAUUUUAAUUUAAUUUAUUCAGCACACCUGAGAUCAAAGUGCUAAUGGAGUGCCGUGCAUUGUGGGUUAAAGUCUCAGGGGCAGUGUGCUCUGCUCCAUACAGCACAUGCAGCAGGUGGCUGACGUCAGCCAAUAAAAUGAACAGGAUAUACUAAAACUAUGAAAAAGUGUCAUGGAAAUGGAGCUGAAGUGAAAGGGAAUGGCGUGUCUCUGAUAGAAGAGGUCAGGAUGGCUCCGGUACACUGGAACAUCUGCAUACUGCAGAACAGUAGAUCAGCAAAAUGCAGAAAAUUUCCUCUAUCACAGCAUAACAUCAUUAGGAUUACAAGCAUUUCUCAAAUGAGACAUUUGAAACUCCAUUUUGCCUGAUUGGUCACUUUCAAACCAUAUGCCCAACACUCUCUAGCGGCAACCCAAAACAACUGCUGGUUGGCCGUCUGAUGUAGCGCUCGGUGCCUGCCAGAUCUCCUGGGGCCGCACAGAGCCAUGAGAACCAGGCUGGGGUAUAUUUAUAGAAAAGUCUCUGUAAGGCAAGCGUCUUUGGGUGUUCACAGGCAUUCCAGAGUCAUUCCAGACCACAAGACCCAGAAUGAGCCAGAGAAACGACAGACGGGAGGAUGGAGCCGUUCUGUGCGGCUGGAACAGGAAGUGACCCGAGAUGACCCAGAGGUGAAAGAAGUUUGCACAGUUUAUUCAGUCCCAAAAACAAACACAAACAGACUGCCAGGCGCGAUAGAGAAAACCCGCUGCAGCUGGAGAACUAAGGAUUAUACAGCUGCUUCCCGAGUCACAGAUCCUCGACUGAAGUGAUGUCCAACUGGAGUGAAGUGUAGAGAUGGUCCAGGCUGGCAGAUAGAGGCAACCACACCUGCAGACAGGUAACCCAGCACGGCAGAUCAGGACAGCAGGAACACGGUCGGGCUCUGGACUGGGACUUGGACUCAGACUAAUAGCUGCUAACACACACACACACACACACACACACACACACACACACACACACACACACACACACAAACAAACUAUGUCAAGUGAGAGAGUGAGGAGCUCAUCACACUCACAUUAAACAAUUCUCGGACAAGAACAAAGAACAGGGAGAAGUAGGCAGCGCAAUCAGCGUGAAGACACAGAACAGGUGCGUGCGCGGGAGCAAGAACGCCAGCGGUAACAGGGAACAGCUGAACCCAAGGAGAGAUGAAGAACAGGGGAGGAAAAGACACCCCAAAACAAGAGUGAUCAAACCUGGCUCAUGACAAAAUCUCUAAGUUAUAUAAAUAACAAAAAAUCCCUAAGAUUUAUAAAAUAAAAUAAAGAAAUGUUUAAAGAAAACGUGUAUU
ensembl:lncRNA